rnacentral:rRNA from 1 species
CCUACGGGAGGCAGCAGUAGGGAAUCUUCCACAAUGGGCGAAAGCCUGAAGGAGCAACGCCGCGUGGGUGAAGAAGGUCUUCGGAUCGUAAAACUCUGUUGUUAGAGAAGUAAGGUCGUGCGAGUAACUCUUUACGUUUCGACGGUAUCUAACAAGAAAGCCACGGCCAAAUACGUGCCAGCAGCCGCGGUAAUACGUAGGUGGCAAGCGUUAUCCGGUUUUAUUGGGCGUAAAGGGAGCGCAGGCGGUCUUUUAAGUCUGAUGUGAAAGUGUUCGGCUUAACCGGAGUAGUGCAUUGGAUACUGGCAGACUUGAGUGCAGAUGAGGAGGGUGGAACUCGAGGUGUAGCGGUGAAAUGCGUAGAUAUAUGGAAGAACACCAGUGGCGAAGGCGGCUCUCUAAUCUGCAACUGACACUGAGGUUCGAAAGCGUGGGUAGCAAACAGGAUUAGAUACCCCAGUAGUC